AUUUUUUUUAUGAUUCAUAAGUGUGAUGAUUGGAGUUUCACACUAUUGUGUGAGAUGUGCCUCCCUCAAACCUCCUCACAAUGAUGUCAACACAUUACCUGUCUGACA